GGGGAAUUAGCUCAGUGGUAGAGCACUUGCCUAGCAAGCGUAAGGCCCUGAGUUCGGUCCUCAGCCCCA
rnacentral:tRNA from 1 species